rnacentral:rRNA from 1 species
GGUAGGUAUUCAUAAAAAAGAAGGUGUUUCGGCAUUGGAGGUUGUAAUGACCAAAAUUGGUGCCGGUGGAAAAUUUGAUAAAGAUUCCUAUAAAGUUUCUGGAGGACUUCACGGUGUUGGGGUUUCUGUGGUAAACGCUUUAUCGAAUCAUUUGAGAGCUACCGUUCACAGUAGUGAUGGUAAAAUAUACGAACAAGAAUACGAAAAAGGAAAAGCAUUAUAUCCAGUUAAACAAAUUGGUGAAACGACAAAAAGAGGGACAAUCGUUACUUUUUAUCCGGAUCCAAGCAUAUUUACACAAACGAUAGAGUAUUCUUAUGAUACUUUAUCUGCUCGUAUGCGCGAACUGUCUUAUCUGAACAAAGGAAUUACUAUUACUUUUACAGAUAAAAGAGAAAAAGAUAAAGAUGGAAAUUUUGUAUCAGAAGUAUUUCAUUCUGAUGAAGGUUUAAAAGAAUACAUCCGUUACUUAGAUGGAAACCGUGAGCCAAUUAUUGCACACGUUAUUUCUAUGGAUCAUGAAAAAGGAGAAAUUCCGGUUGAGGUUGCGUUAAUUUACAACACAAGUUACACGGAAAAUAUUUUUUCUUACGUAAAUAAUAUUAAUACACACGAAGGAGGAACGCACUUGCAAGGUUUUAGAACUGGUCUAACUAGAUCGUUAAAGAAAUAUGCGGAUGCUUCUGGAAUGUUGGAUAAGCUGAAAUUUGAUAUUUCAGGAGACGAUUUCCGUGAAGGAUUGACUGCUAUUAUUUCGGUAAAAGUUCAAGAACCACAGUUUGAAGGACAAACGAAAACGAAACUUGGUAACAGAGAAGUUGUUUCUCCGGUAAGUCAAGCGGUGAGUGAAAUGAUUGAAAAUUAUUUGGAAGAAAAUCCAAAUGAUGCCCGUAUCAUCGUUCAAAAAGUAAUUCUUGCAGCGCAAGCGCGUCACGCAGCUAAAAAAGCACGUGAAAUGGUACAACGCAAAACCGUAAUGGGUGGCGGUGGAUUACCAGGGAAACUGUCAGACUGUUCGGAACAAGAUCCUGCAAAAUGUGAAGUAUAUCUUGUCGAGGGAGAUUCGGCAGGUGGAACGGCAAAGCAAGGUCGUGACCGUAAUUUUCAAGCUAUUUUACCUCUGCGUGGUAAGAUUUUGAACGUUGAAAAAGCAAUGCAUCACAAAGUUUUUGAAAAUGAAGAGAUUCGAAAUAUAUUUACGGCACUUGGUGUAACCAUUGGUACAGAAGAGGAUAGUAAGGCAUUAAAUAUUUCAAAAUUACGAUACCAUAAAGUAAUUAUU